UAAUUGGAGAGUUUGAUCUUGGCUCAGAAUGAACGCUGGCGGCAUGCUUAACACAUGCAAGUCGAACGGAUCUAACUGAAUAGCAAUAUUUAGUUAGAUUAGUGGCAAACGGGUGAGUAACACGUGGGUAAUUUGCCUUUGACAUGAACAUAACCUUAAGAAAUUGAGGCUAAUAUUCAAUAGUCUUAGUACUGCGAUGCAGCGCUAAGUAAAGGUUUGGGUUAAACCAGACGGUCAGAGAUAAGCCCGCGUUCUAUCAGCUAGUUGGCAGGGUAAUGGCCUACCAAGGCUUUGACGGAUAGCCGGCCUGAAAGGGUGAUCGGCCACAUUGGCACUGAGAUACGGGCCAGACUCCUACGGGAGGCAGCAGUGGGGAAUUUUGGACAAUGGGCGCAAGCCUGAUCCAGCAAUGCCGCGUGAGGGAUGAAGGUCUUCGGAUUGUAAACCUCUUUUAGAGGGGAUGAAGUCUCGAGCAAUCGGGAUUGACAGUACCUUCGGAAUAAGCCACGGCUAACUACGUGCCAGCAGCCGCGGUAAUACGUAGGUGGCGAGCGUUAUUCGGAUUUACUAGGUGUAAAGCACAGGUAGGUGGUCGAGUAAGUUGGAAGUGAAAGCCCCUGAUAGUUCAGGGGAUGCCUUUCAAAACUGCUCGGCUUGAGUGUAGGAGGGGAAACCGGAAUUCCAGGUGUAGCGGUGAAAUGCGUAGAUAUCUGGAGGAAUACCGAUGGCGAAAGCGGGUUUCUGGUCUAUUACUGACACUGAGCUGUGAAGGCGCGGGGAGCAAACAGGAUUAGAUACCCUGGUAGUCCGCGCGGUAAACGAUGUUCACUUGGUAUGGGAGGUAUCGACCCCUUCUGUGCCGGAGCUAACGCAUUAAGUGAACCACCUGGGGAGUACGGCCGCAAGGUUGAAACUCAAAAGAAUUGACGGGGGCCCGCACAAGUGGUGGAGCAUGUGGUUUAAUUCGACGCAACGCGAAAAACCUUACCCGGG
rfam:Elusimicrobia bacterium RIFOXYB2_FTLL_48_7 rifoxyb2_full_scaffold_5182, whole genome shotgun sequence.